rnacentral:rRNA from 1 species
GACGAACGCUGGCGGCGUGCUUAAUACAUGCAAGUCGAACGGAAAGGCCCUGCUUUUGCGGGUUGCUCGAGUGGCGAACGGGUGAGUAACACGUGAGUAACCUGCCCUUGACUGUGGGAUAACUUCAGGAAACUGGGGCUAAUAUCGGAUAGGAGCUCCUGCUGCAUGGUGGGGGUUGGUAAGUGUCGGCGGUUGGGGAUGGACUCGCAGCUUAUCAGCUUGUUGGGGAGGUAGUGGCUGACCAAGGUUUUGACGGGUAGCCGGCCUGAGAGGGUGAACGGCCACAUGGGGACUGAGAUACGGCCCAGUCUCCUACGGGACGCAACAGUGGGGAAUAUUGCACAAUGGGGGGGAGCCAGAUGCAGCAACGCCGCGUGCGGGAUGACGGGCUACGAGUUGUAAACCGCUUUCGCCUGUGACGAGGCGGGCGUGACGGUAAUGGGUAAAGAAGCACCGGCUAACUACGUG